AUUGAACGCUGGCGGCAUGCCUAACACAUGCAAGUCGAACGGUAACAGGAAGCAGUUUGCUGCUUUGCUUACGAGUGGCGGACGGGUGAGUAAUGUCUGUGAAACUGCUUUAUGGAUGGGGAUAACUACUGGAAACGGUAGCUAAUACCGCAUAACUUUGCAAGACCAAAGUUCGGUACCUUAGGGCCUCUUUCCUUCGGAUGAUCCCAGAUGGGAUUAGCUAGUAGGUGGGGUAACGGCUCACCUAGGCGACGAUCCCUAGCUGGUCUGAGAGGUUGACCGGCCACACUGGAACUGAGACACGGUCCAGACUCCUACGGGAGGCAGCAGUGGGGAAUAUUGCACAAUGGGCGAAAGCCUGAUGGAGCAAUGCCGCGUGUAUGAAGAAGGCCUUCGGGUUGUAAAGUACUUUCAGCGGGGAGGAAGGGAGUAGAAUUAAUACCUGUGCUCAUUGACGUUACCCGCAGAAAAAGCCCCGGCUAACUACGUG
rnacentral:rRNA from 1 species